rnacentral:rRNA from 1 species
GAGGAAUAUUGGUCAAUGGGCGAGAGCCUGAACCAGCCAAGUAGCGUGCAGGAUGACGGCCCUAUGGGUUGUAAACUGCUUUUAUGUGGGGAUAAAGUGAGCUACGUGUAGUUUAUUGCAGGUACCACAUGAAUAAGGACCGGCUAAUUCCGUGCCAGCAGCCGCGGUAAUACGGAAGGUCCAGGCGUUAUCCGGAUUUAUUGGGUUUAAAGGGAGCGUAGGCCGUGGAUUAAGCGUGUUGUGAAAUGCAGGUGCUCAACGUCUGCACUGCAGCGCGAACUGGUUCACUUGAGUGUGCGCAACGCAGGCGGAAUUCGUCGUGUAGCGGUGAAAUGCUUAGAUAUGACGAAGAACUCCGAUUGCGAAGGCAGCUUGCGGGAGCACAACUGACGCUGAAGCUCGAAAGUGCGGGUAUCGAACAGGAUUAGAUACCCUGGUAGUCCGCACGGUAAACGAUGGAUGCCCGUUGUCAGGCUGUUUCAGCCUGGUGACCAAGCGAAAGCAUUAAGCAUCCCACCUGGGGAGUACGCCGGCAACGGUG